UGCCGAAGUCUUCCACAAAAUGCACCGGGCUAGAUGAGACUCACGUGCGGAUCGCCAUACAGCGGUGGGCUGUAGCGUUCUGCUCGGAGAGGCAGAACGGGGAGAGAGGCUGGACGCGGAGGGGGGAAAAACCGCAAAACGGAUAGCCUACCUCAAAGGGGAAGGAUGUGAAUAUAAUGGAGGGACGAAGGGAGAGAGGGGGGAAAGGCUCGUGAAAAACAGUAAGUACAUUUAUUAUCUUGGAUUUGCAGUGCACCGGGCAUGUUGUUAUCUGGCGGAUGUGUUUGGAUUAAUUGCGACGCGGCCGGUGAGCGUGUGUUACACGGCGUCAUUGAGACGGGCAUCGGGCUUUCGGGUGUCGGCAUCUGUAAAGCUGCUUGUGAUAGAAAGAUGGAUGGCCGGAGAUGGAUAGGUGGAAUCAGUGCUUUGACCCCUCUGUCAUUGCUGCGUGUGACUCAGAACAGUCUUUAACCCUCAAUGUAUAGGGUCCUUGUACCCAAACCCGCCGUCAUGUACGUUUGUUAGAGUAAAUAUUCUAAUAAGUCACUCUUUUACCUCGCUCUCUCUCAGUCACAUACGCACUCUCUCUCUGUUCCUCUCUCUCUGUUUCUCUAUCUGUUUCUCUCUCUCUCUCUCUCUCUCUCUCUCUCUCUCUCUCUCUCUCUCUCUCUCUCUCUCUCUCUCUCUCUCUCUCUCUCUCUCUCUCUCUUCUUUUCUCUCUAUCCAUCUCACACACACACACACACACACACACACACACACACACACACACACACACACACACACACACACACACACACACACACACACACACACACACACACACACACACACACACACACACACACACACACACACACAACAC